rnacentral:rRNA from 1 species
GCUUGCUUGGUGGAUCAGUGGCGAACGGGUGAGUAACACGUGAGCAACCUGCCCUGGACUCUGGGAUAAGCGCUGGAAACGGCGUCUAAUACUGGAUAUGAGACGUGAUCGCAUGGUCGUGUUUGGAAAGAUUUUUCGGUCUGGGAUGGGCUCGCGGCCUAUCAGCUUGUUGGUGAGGUAAUGGCUCACCAAGGCGUCGACGGGUAGCCGGCCUGAGAGGGUGACCGGCCACACUGGGACUGAGACACGGCCCAGACUCCUACGGGAGGCAGCAGUGGGGAAUAUUGCACAAUGGGCGGAAGCCUGAUGCAGCAACGCCGCGUGAGGGAUGACGGCCUUCGGGUUGUAAACCUCUUUUAGCAGGGAAGAAGCGAAAGUGACGGUACCUGCAGAAAAAGCGCCGGCUAACUACGUGCCAGCAGCCGCGGUAAUACGUAGGGCGCAAGCGUUAUCCGGAAUUAUUGGGCGUAAAGAGCUCGUAGGCGGUUUGUCGCGUCUGCUGUGAAAUCCCGAGGCUCAACCUCGGGCCUGCAGUGGGUACGGGCAGACUAGAGUGCGGUAGGGGAGAUUGGAAUUCCUGGUGUAGCGGUGGAAUGCGCAGAUAUCAGGAGGAACACCGAUGGCGAAGGCAGAUCUCUGGGCCGUAACUGACGCUGAGGAGCGAAAGGGUGGGGAGCAAACAGGCUUAGAUACCCUGGUAGUCCACCCCGUAAACGUUGGGAACUAGUUGUGGGGACCAUUCCACGGUUUCCGUGACGCAGCUAACGCAUUAAGUUCCCCGCCUGGGGAGUACGGCCGCAAGGCUAAAACUCAAAGGAAUUGACGGGGACCCGCACAAGCGGCGGAGCAUGCGGAUUAAUUCGAUGCAACGCGAAGAACCUUACCAAGGCUUGACAUAUACGAGAACGGGCCAGAAAUGGUCAACUCUUUGGACACUCGUAAACAGGUGGUGCAUGGUUGUCGUCAGCUCGUGUCGUGAGAUGUUGGGUUAAGUCCCGCAACGAGCGCAACCCUCGUUCUAUGUUGCCAGCACGUAAUGGUGGGAACUCAUGGGAUACUGCCGGGGUCAACUCGGAGGAAGGUGGGGAUGACGUCAAAUCAUCAUGCCCCUUAUGUCUUGGGCUUCACGCAUGCUACAAUGGCCGGUACAAAGGGCUGCAAUACCGUAAGGUGGAGCGAAUCCCAAAAAGCCGGUCCCAGUUCGGAUUGAGGUCUGCAACUCGACCUCAUGAAGUCGGAGUCGCUAGUAAUCGCAGAUCAGCAACGCUGCGGUGAAUACGUUCCCGGGUCUUGUACACACCGCCCGUCAAGUCAUGAAAGUC